AAUGAACGCUGGCGGCAGGCCUAACACAUGCAAGUCGAGCGAGCAUUUCGGUGCUAGCGGCGGACGGGUGAGUAACGCGUGGGAACGUGCCCUUUUCUGCGAAUAGUCCUGGGAAACUGGGGGUAAUACCGCAUACGCCCUUUUGGGGAAAGAUUUAUCGGAGAAGGAUCGGCCCGCGUUGGAUUAGGUAGUUGGUGGGGUAAUGGCCCACCAAGCCGACGAUCCAUAGCUGGUUUGAGAGGAUGAUCAGCCACACUGGGACUGAGACACGGCCCAGACUCCUACGGGAGGCAGCAGUGGGGAAUCUUAGACAAUGGGGGCAACCCUGAUCUAGCCAUGCCGCGUGAGUGAUGAAGGCCUUAGGGUUGUAAAGCUCUUUCAGCUGGGAAGAUAAUGACGGUACCAGCAGAAGAAGCCCCGGCUAACUCCGUG
rnacentral:rRNA from 1 species